UACCAACCGGGAUUGCCUCAGUAACGGCGAGUGAAGCGGCAAAGCUCAAAUUUGAAAUCGGUGCGCCGAGUUGUAAAUUGAAGGAGGGGUGCUGGGACGACGCCGGUUUAAGUGCCUUGGAACAGGCCGCCAUGGAGGGUGACAGCCCCGUGAAGCCGGGCCGUCGUGCCGUGCAGCGCUGCUCCGACGAGUCGAGUUGUUUGGGAAUGCAGCUCUAAGUGGGUGGUAAGCUCCAUCUAAAGCUAAAUAUUGGCGAGAGACCGAUAGCGAACAAGUACAGUGAUGGAAAGAUGAAAAGCACUUUGAAAAGAGAGUGAAACAGCACGUGAAAUUGUUGAAAGGGAAGGGCUUGGCCUCAGACGCGGGUGCGCUUCGGUGCGCCCGGGCCAGCAUGGGCUCGUGGGGGGCGACAAUGGCGCGAGAACGUGGCACCGCUUCUGCGGUGUGUUACAGCUCGCGCAGACAGUCCCACCGCGGGCCGAGGCAUGCGCAUUUGCAAGGAUGCUGGCGUAAUGAUGUCAAGCCGCCCGUCUUGAAACACGGACCCA
rnacentral:rRNA from 2 species